rnacentral:tRNA from 1 species
GGGCGUAUGGCUCAGUCUGGUAGAGCGCCUCGUUCACACCGAGGAGGUCACUGGUUCAAGUCCAGUUACGCCCA